ACACGACUACAUUAGAUACCCGGGUAGUCCUAGGCGUAAAUGAUGCGAGUUAAGUGUGGGGGCAUCUACGAGAUGGCCCUGUGCUGUAGGGUAGCCGUUAAACUCGCUGCCUGGGGAGUACGGUCGCAAGGCUGAAACUUAAAGGAAUUGGCGGGGGAGCACCGCAACGGGAGGAGCGUGCGGUUCAAUUGGAUUCAACGCCGGACAACUCACCAGGAGCGACGGUUACAUGAAGGCCAGGCUGAUGACCUUGCCUGAUUUUCCG
rnacentral:rRNA from 1 species